rnacentral:rRNA from 1 species
AUGGGGUUUUGCUGUGGGUGUUCGGAUGUCAAGGUGCUCCCCAAGAACAACUCCUUGGCUUCCUCGCCCUCGCCGUCCGCUAAAGAUUCCAGCGAUGGCGCCAAGAAGAAGCAGCCUCAAGCCGUAAAGAAGGAAGGGAAAGAGAAGAAAAGGAGCAACCUUGACCGGGCCGCCAUGGCGUCGCCCCGCCUCCCCUUCCAUUCUCGACCCGGCCUAAUGUAA